rnacentral:rRNA from 1 species
UGAGGAAUAUUGGUCAAUGGACGGAAGUCUGAACCAGCCAUGCCGCGUGAAGGAUGAAGGCGUUCUGCGUUGUAAACUUCUUUUACCAGAGAAGAAACCACAGAUUUCUAUUUGUGUUGACGGUAUCUGGUGAAUAAGCACCGGCUAACUCCGUGCCAGCAGCCGCGGUAAUACGGAGGGUGCAAGCGUUAUCCGGAUUUACUGGGUUUAAAGGGUGCGUAGGCGGAUUAUUAAGUCAGUGGUGAAAUCCCGGGGCUCAACCUCGGAACUGCCAUUGAUACUAUUAGUCUUGAAUUAUGUUGAGGUUGGCGGAAUAUAACAUGUAGCGGUGAAAUGCUUAGAUAUGUUAUGGAACACCGAUUGCGAAGGCAGCUGGCUAAACAUAUAUUGACGCUGAUGCACGAAAGCGUGGGUAGCGAACA